UGUGUGAGGUGGUGCUAUGUAGCAGGAACCCCUCUUGCUUUGCAAAUAGUUUUUUGUUUGUUUUCCUUUUUGCCCAAUAGAGCCCUGCUCUACUGACCCUUCAAUGUGCCCGUGUGCCUAAAUAUUCCUGGUCGUGUGAAAAGAACCCAGGUAUUAGCUGAACUAAGGAGCACAAUUCUGCAACAUUUUGGCACCCAAACACGGGGCUUGAGAAAUGACUUUUGGAUGCUACAGAGGACACCUGCAGCAUCAAAAAAAGUAAGGUAAAUGGAUUAUCUGGUAUGUUUUAGGUACAUGGGAUUGACAAAACGGUGUUCAAUCCUUUUUCGGUUGUAUUUUUGUGAAUAAUACUAAUAGUACUAAUAAUAAUACUAAUGUAUAGUUCCAAACUUUUAUGGGAUUUAAAAAAUUCUAAUGUUUGAGCAUAUACUAUCAAUCAUAAUUAUAGCUAUUAUGUUAAAUUAUUGUAAACCAUGGAGAUAACCAAAUUUAUUUGUCAAUCAUGUUUCUGACUGCAACUACCCUGGACAUUUUGUUACUCACAAACCAUUGUUGUCUUGUUUUGAUCCUAUCCUCUUCACAUGAUGUUUAUAAUCAGCUAUGGAACUUUGACAGGUGUUCUCAAAUGCAGGCUUCUGAUAACUUUGGAGAUUGUGACAUUGGAAUAAAGGAAAAACAUACAGGGCUCAUGAAAAUUGAAAUGUUCAUGGAUAGCAAGCAAAACAAGAGUUAACUGAAUGGACUGAACUAAUAGAAAACUGAAGUAAUCGUUUUAGCUUUUGCUUGGAAUAUUGCUGAUCAUUAUUUUGUUUUUCAGAGUCCAGGAAACUUAUUUUGAACUAUUUAUGACCUUUAAUAAUUGAGUAAGGUGUACUCCUGUGAACAAAAUUUGGAGCAUUAUUUGUCUCUCUCUGCCUGGCUUCUCCAGAAUUUGGAAACUAAUAUUGAGUAUUCUUAACUUAUGGCAGUAUAGUCAUUUGCAUCAGUGCAAUAAGAAUCCUUUUUCUUUUGCAACAGAAUGCAAUUGGAGAAACUGGUUGUUUUACCAGGCGUUGAUUGGAAAUGUGUGCUUCCCUUUAAGCAGUCAAGCUCAACUUGCAGAACUGAUGGGAACCCCUUGGGAAAACUGGCCUCAAAUGUUUGUCUACACAGUCCACAUACAGGGUUCUUAACCUGCGGUGAGUAAAGAAUGUCACUUUCCAACAGGCCCAGAUAUCAUAUGCUCUUGGGACCUCAAGAAGAGAGGAGUUUACCCAAUUCAUAGGUGUGUGAGGAUAAAAACCUAGGGCUGGGCUCAGCUUUAAAUGGUCUUAUCUGAGAUUCUUUGUGAAACAGAUUUUCAUGAAAGCCAAUCUAGAGGGCCUACGUAGAAAUAAUUGUUUUUGCUGCACUUUAUGCACAUAAUCAAGCCAAUUAUAAGACUAAAGUCUAUAUUGCAAGCAACACACUCCUAUUAUGAUUUGUUUUUAACAGAAAUGAGGACGAGACAGAGAGAAAUUAUGUUUCAAAACUUAUCAUCAUUAGUUUCUAGACUUAUUAUUUCUUUUUAAGUUUUUACCUACAUUUUAGACUGACCCUGCUUGUGCCUGUGAACCAACCAACAAUCUCUGGCUGCAGCUCAGAAAGGACAAAAGAGAAUGGGAAACACUUUCUGAAAAUGUCAGAACUCUUGAAAACAUGGAUGAGGAAAAGCAUAAGUACUGCUUUAUGCUUUUCUUAUGAAUUUUAAAAGAUGUAAUUUAAAGGUACUUUAAAGUGAUAUUUGUGCCCUUGUAACUGAUUCAAAGUAGACUGCUAAGGACAAUAAGUAAUAAGAGUCUACAAAUAUCAGUAAAUUAUGAGAAAAAACGGUCUAAUGGUACUUAAAAUUGCAUUGUGAUUUAUUAAAUAACAUUGAACAGCUCCACCUGUAACAUUAAGAUUCCAUUUGAGCAUAUAGAAAAUAUAUUUAUCGCAACCUGAAGUGAUUUGGAAAGUAUGCUGGGAAGAAAAUAUAUUUACAAAUUAGUCUCAGAGGGUAGGUAUCCUGUAGCCAGAUGGAAUAAGAAGAGAGGGAAGGGAGAUUUUGUUCAAAGGGGGAGCAUAAGCUAAGGAAUAAAGCCACAAACAAUGAUUAAAUUAGGUAAAGUGCAAUUAGCUGAAUAUUGCAUAAGCAUACAUAUGGGAAGAAGUGGAAAAAGGAGUGACAAUAUGAAGCUAAAGGGUUUGAAGUGUUCAAGAUAAUACUAGGCUUCCUAGCCUAUUCCGAGACAUCUUGUUUUAGAGUGCAAUAGAUAAGAACUCUAAGGAUGAAAGUAGGAGACAUGCAUUCUAGUCUACGUUUUGGUUAAUGGACUGAAAGUGAAAGAUGGACUGAAAUUGGGGGAUGGAAUAAAAAUGUGAUAGAAUAGAAAAUAGAAAAAGCAAUUAGCCUAAUGUCAUUGAUACUUAGAGAAAAUAUGGAAAAUAGUAAAUUAGUGAUAUAUAUCUUUUCUAAUUCACCAGGGUGAGUGAACAAAGGAAAUCGGAUUUAAAAGUAUUCAUGACAUAGAUGCAAUAAGGUUUCUCAGUCAGACAUAGCAAAUUGAGGGAAGGGAAGAUUUAGAGGAUUGGAAAAUGUCUUGCUUGUAGACUAAUAGGAUAUCAAUAAGCCAUAUGAGCAAUAAUUUGAAAUAGUUUUUGUAAAGUAUCAUGAAGGUAAACCCUGUUUAGAACAAAUUAGAUUUGAAGUACUUGUGACAAAUGCAAUUGACAAUGCCUUUAUGCAGCUGGAAAAUUGUUGCUUAGCAGAAAAGCUUGUGCUGGACAAAUAGAUGUCCAAAUUGAAUAGAUGUUUUCUUAAGCUGAACUAAUUGAGACAAAUAUCCUUAUUAAAUCAAAAAAUUAAAAAUUGAAAUAACUUACCUAUGAUAGGGUAAAUAAUGUUAUUAAUAUACACAAGAAAUAUGUGAUGUAUAUGUGUAUGUACAUAUGUAUACAUAGUAAUAAUACAUAGUGCUAUUUUUAAAUGAUAUUUUACAUAGUGCUUUUUUAAAUGAUUUUUCAAUCAUCGUUGUUGGUCUGUGUUAUUUUAAUCAUCAAAGCUGAUUGAUUUCUGUUUUUGUGUUUUUUUUUGUUUUUUUUGAGGUGGAGUCUCACUCUGUCACCCAUGGUGGAGUACAGUAGUGCGGUCUUAGCUCACUACAAACUCCACUUCCCUGAUUCAAGUAAUUCUUGUGCCUCAGCCUCUCGAGUAGCUUGGAUUGCAGGCAUGCACCACCACGAGCUGCUAAAUUUUUUGUAUUUUUUGUAGAGGGGUUUUGCCAUGUUGGCCAAGCUGGUCUCAAACUCCUGACCUCAAGUGAUCCGCCCUGGCUUCCCAAGCCCAGCUGAUUCCUGUUUAAAUAAAAACUUACAAAGAUCUUCCCACAAGUACUUUAUCUUACAAUUUACUGAACAAUAGAGGCAGUGAAGAUGUUUUUCAGAAAGCAAUUGUGAUCCUGACAUUUUCUUCUUAUAAUCCUGUGCUUUCCUCAUUUUUUUAUAUUAAAAGUAAUAGUUCUUGUGAUGGCAACUAGGAUUUGUAACAACAUGUACCCUCAUUUCCUGCAUGACCUUUUUUAUGUCACUUCUUCACAUGCAAAGUAUACUCCCUCAGUGUCAUUACAUUAUUUGAUUUUUGCCCUUUCCCUCACCUUUCCAUGUGUUUAUUUGCCUAUGCCCAUCUCCUAGUCACAUUUUAUCUAGUUAACGCCAACUUGACUUUCAAUGCUGUUCAAGAUUUACCUCAAUCUCAAGUGUUUUCUCUUUAUAUUCCAUACACGCUUAGCUUGGCUGCCAAUCCUCUUGGCUGCCAAAGAAUCCCAAAUUAUCUCUUUCAAAAAUACAAGAAAUAAAGGAUGGAGGAUAGGAAGGAGGGUGGUCAGGAAAGAACAAAGAAAGGAGGGGAGAGGAAAAAAAGAGAGAAAGAAAGAGAAUUAAAGUUAAGGAGGAAGAAUUUCACACUGAAUUAAAAUUGAUAAUAUUCAGGAAUGAUUUUAUAGUAGGCAUACAUUGAUAAAUAUUAGUUAAAUUAAUGAAUUAUUCCAAAAGAUCAUGAUUUGUAAAAAUUACCCUGAAGCACUUUAGGAAUAUUACAUUGAAAUAGGUAUGCAAUUUCUAAAGAAACUGGACUGCAAAAAUAGCCAUUGUGUGUACCUGUGGACCAGAAUAUUAUAUUUUGCUUAAGUUUGAAGUGUUAAAGUGCCCAACGUGCUCUUAUUUUAACCUAGCAAAUUUUCAGCAGAACUUAAGCUCAUAUAGUAUUUGAUUUUUUCAUUUCUCACAACUGUUGGAAUUCUGUUUUAUUGAAAAUUAUACAAUAAAAUGUUAAAAAAUCUUUGUUCCUGCAGUUAUGCAAUCUUAUGCCAAAGUCAAUAAAUUAUUAAAUUAAAAUCAAACCCACUAAGCCUAACAAUUUGAGAAAAUGAUUAUUAAAACAUAUACCAUUUAGAAGGGCAAUGCCUUUUUAAUAUUAUAGUGAAGACAACCCUAUCAAUUAUUUAAUACACCAAGAAUACAAGGAUAUAAAAUCUUUUUCUCUCAUAUAUCACAUUAUCUGAUGUAUUUAGCUGUGAUGACAUUCCAGAAAACAUCACUUUUUAAAAUUUCUAAGAUUUUAUUAUGUUGCUAGCAAAUCGAUUUUUUUCAAGUACUGUAACAAAAUCCCUAAAUGGGCUUUAUGAGAACUAUUUUCAGUGUGAUAUUAAUCAUAUUUUAUUUAUCAUCCAUACAUAGAUGGUAGCUUAUCUGGUAUUCCUAGUGUUUGAAGUGAAGAGUAACACACACACACAUCCCAAUACCAAUUUAAUUGAUAAAUAUAUAAUCAUUUGUUUUCAAAUAUUUAUGUUGAUACUUGCUUGUGUACUUACUUGUAAUGUAGGUCUGUAAAAGGGACUGUUUUCUUUCUGUGAAACUGAAGCUUAAAGCAGUGCUUGUCACAAAUUCAAAAUCACCUUGCUUUGUCAACAUUUUCAGAUGUUUUUGGCUCAGUCUGAUGACAGCAUCAGUGCAGUAAAGGGAUCUUAUUGAAAUGUUUUAACUAAAGAUAAAAUGCCACCACUAGGAGAAAAAUAAAAUCAAGGAAAUAAACAGAAAAUCAAUAAAUGUGAAAUGUAUUAUAAAUUUAUAUAAUAACAAUGUUGUAUGCUAUAAACAUCUCACUUUGUAAAAUUAACAAGAAUUCAGUGAGGCAGAUCAUUUUCUAUGUGUUCAGAAGUCAAGUCUUUGAUGGCUAAUUUUUAUAUUACUUCAUUACAAUAUCUCUACUGAAGCAAAAUAAUUGCAAAUCUUUUUGAAUGAAAUCAAUUUAUCUUUAAUUUUAGAUAAUAUUUGGUAUAGUUGGCAUAGUUUUGUCACAAAGCAUAGCUAACAUCAAUGUAGCCUUACGACUUCAAAUGUCUUUAUAGAUCUUUUCUGAAAUUGCAAAAUUUUACUUUGAAAUUAUUGUUAAUAUUUACGUUGCACAACCACAAAUGUAGAAAUAAAAUUAUAAAGUCUC
rnacentral:lncRNA from 1 species